AAAGACUGUCACUCGGCCCAACCCAUUCAGAACCACAGUGCAAGUGCCAUUAAAGUCUAGGCCAAAAAUGAUCCUUAUAUGAUUUUCAUACCUAACGAAGUUACUACAGUGACAGCAAUACUAUCAUCAAAUAAUAGCAGGUAAUGUGAGUAAUACAAUUGUGCAUGUAUGCGCACAUAUGCUGUACUAUAAAUGCAUAUCAGGAAAAGCUUAAAAUGAGUAUUUCAUAAUCUAUUGCCAAUCCCAGGUCACACAUUCUUAAGACAUUAAUUUUCUUUCCAAGAGGAAAAAUAAUACCUUUGACAUGUGGGACUCCAAA
rnacentral:misc_RNA from 1 species